rnacentral:rRNA from 1 species
UACGAAGGGGGCUAGCGUUGCUCGGAAUCACCGGGCGUAAAGCGCACGUAGGCGGAUUGUUAAGUCAGGGGUGAAAUCCUGGAGCUCAACUCCAGAACUGCCUUUGAUACUGGCGAUCUCGAGUCCGGGAGAGGUGAGUGGAACUGCGAGUGUAGAGGUGAAAUUCGUAGAUAUUCGCAAGAACACCAGUGGCGAAGGCGGCUCACUGGCCCGGUACUGACGCUGAGGUGCGAAAGCGUGGGGAGCAAACAGG